ACUCCUCUCCCGCUGCAGGACUGGAAGAGCAAACACAAACGGGUGUGCGCCGAGGUAAACAAACUCGGUGGCGCCGCCCUCUCCUCCCGGAGCGAGGAAGGAGGUGCUGAGACGACUCAGGGCUGGGGGCUAGGACUGCUGCAGGAUGCGCAAGGGAAGGAUUAAAUUGGAUCGCCUGAGGCUUCAAGUUUGCAGACUGCGCAGUGCAUGGGAAUCAACAGCAUAAAAUACGUUUAGUAGGAGAAAACAUUUUAAAGCCAUGGGGUGUGUUUAGGAAAGAAGGGAAGGAGGGAGCACCGUGGACGUACAGCAUUAGGAAUGUUUUUUACAGAGAUUUAGAAAGACGAAGAAUAAAAAUACAAGUCCUGGCAUCUGAAUCAUUAACAACCUCAACAACCCAUUUGUCGUUCUGGGAUGCUAAAAUGUAGUAUGUGUCAAAUUCCAAAUAAAUCAAACUUUUUAACUAGUUAAAAAGAGGAGGGUAAGGGGAGGAAUAACUUGGGUGCCUCUUCAAAACGCAGAUUCUCGGACUUUACCUGUAUUUACAGAAUGAAAAUCUGCGGUAAUAUAAAACCAGGGACUCUACAUUUUAGUGGAUUUAACAAGAGUCAAAACCCCACCGACCACCUUUGAAAAGCAUCACAUUAGGAACUGCCCCGUCAGGCUACGCCAGCCUGGCCUCCGUAACCAUCGUAAAUUAAGGACGAAACCAAGAGACAGAGUAAUGUCUGGACCUUCCACCACCUGUAUGACUUCUUAAAAGUAACAAAUCAGAAACAACAGCUCUAAGUGUUGAGAACGACCUCUCAGGCAACUGGUUUCCUUCCUAGCUCAAAACAGCAAAAUGCCUAUCAGUUGGAAUGCCUGCGAAAUUUACUCAGGAAAAAACCCGCCAUAGACCCUGUAGGGUUCGCCAACGUUUCAUCGCUCCAAUCCGAGUGUUCUUAUUCAGACAUACACGAUACCAAAACUGAAAAGUCGCUCACAAGUGUGACCGAUGCUUGGAUUUUUCUUAAAAGGGCUUCUUUUCAUAAUCCCUUUAGUUUACUUUAGAGCCAAAGACUAAGCAGCCUUUUGAAAGUUUUUCUUUGUCUGAGCCCCGUGAAUUUCCUUUCUGCCCAACCCCCCAACAAGAACUCAUUUCUUUAUUCGUGUUAACAGUCUUUUUUUUUUUUUUUGGAACGGUGGGGGAAGAGAACCUGAGGCCCCUCGUUUUCGGAGUUUUAUUUUUAUGCAAGCUGCUACCCUUAAUAGUUUAGCAUUAUUCAGACAGUCCUUGAGAGGACUGUCCCAGCAUUAAACAUUCACAAUCUGCAGACAAAGAGAAAGAGCAGCCUUGUGUAGAGUUAGGAACAAGAGUUUUCUCACCUACUUUUGAGAACCUGGUCUGAUAGCUCCCAGGUAAAAUUUGCAUAUAGUUCUAAAGGUAUAUGUUCAUGCAUAGUUUUUUAUCAUUCUCUUUAAAGAUGAAAGUUUCUUUGUGAACAAAAUUGCCAUUGUUGUAGACAAUAUCCAAGUUCGUGUGGUGGCUAAGUCUAUAAAUUUAAAGAGAGCAGCCUGGAGCUAAAAGUUAUGUUAGCAGAUUCAGUUCAUGCUAAGACAAAGAAAGGCUGGAGCACACAAUUACAGAUAAAAUCCUUAGUUACAUAGAACCUUCACCUACAUCAUUGCAUUUAAUGUGGUAAAUGAAGCUGCUGUUCUGUUUUGCAUUUAAUUUUUGUCAAUUAAUGAGUCUUAGCUGAGCUCUCCAUAACCUGGUUCCCAGGGUCAAUAAUUAAACUUGGUUUAUUCUUC